AUGCUGAUUGUUCUCAUGGCCUAUGCAGCACCCACUAGGGACCCUCUACAUAAGCACAAUCCACAUCUAAAGGAGUCAGGCACUACCAUGAUACAGGGUAUGGUAAUUUCAUUUGUUCUUAGGAAGUGGUGUUUGCUGCGACAUAUACUGGGAAGGCUGCACAGCUCUGAAACUCCACUGAAACUAAGGGAAGAAAAACAAAGGAAGCAAACAAAAACAGAGAAGAAAAGCCAUGGCAAAGCCAGGUGCCCUUGUGAAGAAGUCCUCUGACAGGAUGAAUCAUGCUCUGGGAGAAGUAAUAGCUGUAGACGGCGUCAGAUUGGUAAGUUUUUCCUUUUCUUAAUCACUGAAUCUCCAUGUGUCCUUGCCAUGAAUACAUAACAAAUAGGAUCAGGAAAUGGAUUAAUAGAUCACUUGCUUCUAUUUACUCACAUAAAACAGUCCAAACAGAAUAGCUAUUUUUCACAUAGCUUUAGUGCCAGAGCUAGUUCUUUCUUGAUCCAAAUUAUCCAUCAUGUAUGACAUUUGUUGGAAACCUGAAAGUGAAAUUAUUUUUGCUAUAAUGAAAACAUGAAUACAAUACAUGAAUGUAAUUUAUUCUUAUAAAUUUAAAUUUAUGCUUAUGCUUAUAUUUAUGCAUAUAAAUUGCAACUUAUGCUUAUAAUUUGCAUCUCAGUUUUAAUUCUGAACAUUGCAAGCUCAGAUGGAAGUUCUCCAUCCAGCACUGGCAUCCUGCUUGUAUCUCACUGACUGAUAGCCCACUGAACUGGCUGGCUACCCAUCUCAUAUGAAUCUGUUUAAAACUCUAACCAGAUUAGAGAUGCCAAUGGCCAAUUCUUAUACAAGCCACUUGGACUGUAGACAGAAGAGUUACUUUCCUGGAAAUGUUCGUAAUGAAGGAAAAAAAAGAAGAGGAGAAAAAAGGGAGAGACUGUGUAAAAAGGGCAGCUGUUGCUAGUGAUGGAAAAGCCUUUUAGGCUCCACCUGCCUUGCUCGUGCCAGUAUCUUUAAGUACUACCUCCCUUGACAUGCUGAAUACACAUUACUGUCAAAUCUGAGUAUUAGGUGGAUAGAUAUGCAAGCCCACACUAGCAGCCAGCACAUUCAGGGGAAGUGUCAACAAUUUUCUGCAAACAUUGUACGUGGUAUCUUGCUGGGAGUUUGCUCAGGAGCACAUGCACAGUGUGAAGUAAUGUGCUCUUGUUUUACAAGCUGCAAGUUUAGCGCCAAUCAACUGCACUGCCCAGCCAUGGAAAAAGUGAUACAGAUGGGGGAUCUCUGACAGCCGAGGAUCAGACUGUCGAGUCUGAUGCCAAACAAAAAUAAAUGUACAUGUUGAGAAAUCUCUCUGGGUAAC
rnacentral:lncRNA from 1 species